GAUGAACGCUGGCGGCGUGCCUAAUACAUGCAAGUCGAGCGAAUGGAUUAAGAGCUUGCUCUUAUGAAGUUAGCGGCGGACGGGUGAGUAACACGUGAGUAACCUGCCCAUAAGACUGGGAUAACUCCGGGAAACCGGGGCUAAUACCGGAUAACAUUUUGAACCGCAUGGUUCGAAAUUGAAAGGCGGCUUCGGCUGUCACUUAUGGAUGGACCCGCGUCGCAUUAGCUAGUUGGUGAGGCAACGGCUCACCAAGGCAACGAUGCGUAGCCGACCUGAGAGGGUGAUCGGCCGCACUGGGACUGAGACACGGCCCAGACUCCUACGGGAGGCGGCAGUAGGGAAUCUUCCGCAAUGGACGAAAGUCUGACGGAGCAACGCCGCGUGAGUGAUGAAGGCUUUCGGGUCGUAAAACUCUGUUGUUAGGGAAGAACAAGUGCUAGUUGAAUAAGCUGGCACCUUGACGGUACCUAACCAGAAAGCCACGGCUAACUACGUGCCAGCCGCCGCGGUAA
rnacentral:rRNA from 1 species